AUAUCGAAAUUGGAUGCUGAUUCGUGUUUCUGACAUGUUACAUCAAUAGUAUUCGGAUUGCGUCUUUGAAUAUGUGCAAGUCACACAUGGGUGUGGGAUUGACCAAACCCUUGAUAAAAAUUCCAUUUUUUUAGGCAUCUGCAAAUCGUGAUUAACCUCCGAGGAGGGGUGUGGGCCUAUCAUUUCACUUGUUGAAAGUCAUCAUCUGUCAUGAGAUUGAAACAAAGGUAUAGGAAACUGAGCAUGAAAAAGAGAGUUGAUUGUGUAAUUACAGUAACUUUCCUAAU